AUGACUUCAAGUUCCAUUAGUGUCGUUACAAAGUCAAGAGAGAAGAGUAUGCAAUUUGAAGAAGAAUGUUUUCUUGGAAUACUUCUGGAUUUAUCAUUCAAAGAGGAUUACAAAGCUUCAUCACCUUUACCAUGCCUUAUCCUUAUUUCCAAACUUAUCCAAAUUUCAGUACUUAACAUAAACUAUGUACUAAACUUGAUAUCAUUGCUUUGUUCAAAAUUCACCAUAAUUCCAUUUCAACCUCAAAUAUCAUACACCAUUUUUUUGUCCAAAUAA